rnacentral:lncRNA from 10 species
GAUUCCUCUUGGCUUCUCUGAGCAGCAUUCCUUCCCUCUGGGUAUGGGGCAGGAACCUUUCCAGAAUGGGAGUCUUAUAACCUAUCAUCAAACAAGUAAAGCAAACAGGAGAUACAAACAGAGGCUUUCUCUGAGGUCACCUUAUCCAGAUCUAGGAAAGAUGAACUCACAGAAAAAGGAGACUUAAGUCUGACAUUUUGAAGUUCUGACAGAGAAACUGUUAACCACAAGCUGCCUUCUAUUCACUCUGAGGACUGCUACCUGUGAGACUUCAUCUGCAUAACAAGACAGCCUUUGCUCUCCAUGUGUUUCCUCCCCCCACCCUCCCACAACCCAUCCCCAGGCUCCCCAGGAGCCCUAAGUCCUUAUUCUACUCUGUAUGGUAUACAACUUAGUCAUCUGGCCCUUCUUUGAGUCUCAUAUUUUGUGUAGUUACUCUACACAUGCAUAUGUAAUAAACUUGUAUACCUUUUCUCCU